GAGCUUCCUUCACUGCUACAGCUUCAAUUUCCAGCGGGGAGGAAGCAGACGCAGCUCUAGCAAACCCCACAGUACACAAACCUUUGUGAUCCCUGCAUACCCCAGCCACUGAUCCCUCUAUUUCCCCUUCGAUCCAUGAUCCAUCUACGUUAAAUUUCCAGCUUCCAUAUUCUGGGCACGUCCAUCGCGCUGUCUUGGAUUUCACCCGCCAGCUCCACGACACAGGCGUUCCUUGCCUUCCAGAUUUGCUAGAGAAUUCCUGCCAGCACCUCUCGGCCGGACUGUUCUGUGAUAUUGCAAAAUUGGACUAUGGUCAGACCCUAUUGCAGGCAGUGCAAAGGCUUCCGCAUUUGGGAAACUCACUCUCCAGUUUAUAUUACAAAGGGCUCUAUCUAGCCUUUCCUGCACCAGUGCUCUUCCUUCCCUGUUGUUGGCCCAACCUGUAGUGGUCCGCUCCAUUACCCCCUGAUUUUUCCCAAUGGUACAAUAUCUCAUUAAAGUCCCCAACACAUAUCCAAGGGAGGAGAUUAGCUGCGCUUAUCACCUCUAAAUGGCUCCACAGCCUGAGCCUUUCCUGGAAGCUUGUGGGGGCAUACAGAAAGACCCCCUGCAAUUCCUACGGGGUCGAUAAUCUCUAUAUUUUGGAAAUUGGUUCUCCUCUUCACUCUGUCAACAACUGUUCUCUUAUUUUUAGUUUCCAUCAGGAAGACUAAAUCAGGCCUUUCUUGAGCUACUAAGGCUCUGAGAUGCUGGACUGUCAGGGGAUUGCCCAGCCCCUGACAGUUCCAGCUCAAAAGUUUCAUAUAAUCCCCGGUGGCUUAUUAGGGCUAGCCACCAGAGCCCAGUCAUUUCUUCCAUCUACCACCUUGAUUGGAGCAUCGAGGAGUGUCUUCUCAUUAAUGGAGGGGUAGAGGAUCUGACAUAUUCCUUGCGGGUUGAUUUU